rnacentral:rRNA from 1 species
UCCUACGGGGGGCAGCAGUAGGAAAUCUUCCACAAUGGACGAAAGUCUGAUGGAGCAACGCCGCGUGAGUGAAGAAGGGUUUCGGCUCGUAAAGCUCUGUUGGUAGUGAAGAAAGAUAGAGGUAGUAACUGGCCUUUAUUUGACGGUAAUUACUUAGAAAGUCACGGCUAACUACGUGCCAGCAGCCGCGGUAAUACGUAGGGGGCAAGCGUUGUCCGGAUUUAUUGGGGGUAAAGGGAGUGUAGGGGGUUUAAUAA